UACGUAGGGGGCAUGCGUUAUCCGGAUUUACUGGGUGUAAAGGGAGCGUAGACGGCGAUGCAAGUCUGAAGUGAAAGCCCGGGGCUCAACCCCGGGACUGCUUUGGAAACUGUAUGGCUGGAGUGCUGGAGAGGCAAGCGGAAUUCCUAGUGUAGCGGUGAGAUGCGUAGAUAUUAGGAAGAACACCAGUGGCGAAGGCGGCUUGCUGGACAGUAACUGACGUUGAGGCUCGAAAGCGUGGGGAGCAAACAGG
rnacentral:rRNA from 1 species